rnacentral:rRNA from 1 species
GACGAACGCUGGCGGCGUGCUUAACACAUGCAAGUCGAACGGAAAGGCCCUGCUUUUGUGGGGUGCUCGAGUGGCGAACGGGUGAGUAACACGUGAGUAACCUGCCCUUGACUUUGGGAUAACUUCAGGAAACUGGGGCUAAUACCGGAUAGGAGCUCCUGCUGCAUGGUGGGGGUUGGAAAGUUUCGGCGGUUGGGGAUGGACUCGCGGCUUAUCAGCUUGUUGGUGGGGUAGUGGCUACCAAAGGCUUUGACGGGUAGCCGGCCUGAGAGGGUGACCGGCACCAUGGGACUGAGAUACGGCCCAGACUCCUACGGGAGGCAGCAGUGGGGAAUAUUGCACAAUGGGCGGAAGCCUGAUGCAGCAACGCCGCGUGCGGGAUGACGGCCUUCGGGUUGUAAACCGCUUUCGCCUGUGACGAAGCGUGAGUGACGGUAAUGGGUAAAGAAGCACCGGCUAACUACGUG